CUGGCGGCGUGCCUAACACAUGCAAGUCGAGCGAUGAAACCCUUCGGGUGGAUUAGCGGCGGACGGGUGAGUAACACGUGGGUAACCUGCCUCAAAGAGGGGGAUAGCCUCCCGAAAGGGAGAUUAAUACCGCAUAACAUUAUUUCUUCGCAUGAAGAGAUAAUCAAAGGAGUAAUCCGCUUUGAGAUGGACCCGCGGUGCAUUAGCUAGUUGGUGAGGUAAUGGCUCACCAAGGCAACGAUGCGUAGCCGACCUGAGAGGGUGAUCGGCCACAUUGGAACUGAGAUACGGUCCAGACUCCUACGGGAGGCAGCAGUGGGGAAUAUUGCGCAAUGGGGGAAACCCUGAACCGCAGCAACGCCGCGUGGGUGAAGAAGGCCUUCGGGUUGUAAAGCUCUGUCUUCUGGGACGAUAAUGACGGUACCAGAGGAGGAAGCCACGGCUAACUACGUGCCAGCCGCCGC
rnacentral:rRNA from 1 species